rfam:Phytophthora parasitica P1569 supercont1.3754, whole genome shotgun sequence.
UCGGUUGGAGGGGUUUGUAGGUUUUUUUUUAAGUUGAAAGAAACAAAUUAAAGCUCAACUUUAUACAUUAUUUCAAAACGAAUAUACUGGAGUAUAAAUAGAGGGUAAUAAAAUUUCUAGUGGAGUGAUCAAAUACGUUGAUAAUAGAAGGAAGAUCUAUGGCGAAGGCAAUUAUCUGGGUAUAUUCUGACACUGAGAAGUGAAAGCUUGGUAGCGAACGGGAUUAGACACCCCGAUGAGUGCUAAUAUUUAGAAUUUUUAGAUAUAAUAGCUAACGCAUUAAGCUCUCCACC